rnacentral:rRNA from 1 species
GACGUAGGGCGCGAGCGUUGUCCGGAUUUAUUGGGCGUAAAGAGCUCGUAGGCGGCCUGUCGCGUCGACUGUGAAAACCCGCAGCUCAACUGCGGGACUGCAGUCGAUACGGGCAGGCUAGAGUUCGGUAGGGGAGACUGGAAUUCCUGGUGUAGCGGUGAAAUGCGCAGAUAUCAGGAGGAACACCGGUGGCGAAGGCGGAUCUCUGGGCCUUACCUGACGCUCAGGUGCGAAAGCUAGGGGAGCGAACAGG